AGUGAACGCUGGCGGUAUGCCUAACACAUGCAAGUCGAACGGCACCACAGGAACAGCUUGCUCAUACGUGUGUCGAGUGUCGGACCGGGGCGUAAGACAUCGGAUUCUACUUUUUCGUGGGGGCUAACGUAGGGAAAUUUACGCUAAUACCACAUACGUCCUACUGGUGAAAGCAGGCGUUCUUCUGACCUUUCGCGAGUGUAUGAGCCUAUGUCGGAUUAGCUAGAUGGCUGGGUAAAGGCGCACCAAGGCGACGAUCCGUAGCUGGUAUGACAGGAUGAUCAGACAGACUGGCAGUGAGACACGGUACCGACUCCUACGGGAGGAAGCAGUGGGGAAUAUUGCACAAUGGGCGAAAGCGUGAUCCAGCAAUACCGCGUGGAUGAAGAAGGCGUUAGGGUUGUAAAGUGAUUUUGUUGGGAAAGAAGAGAAGCAGGUUAAUACGCGGCUGUUAUGACGGUACCGAAAGAAUAAGCACCGGCUAACUUCGUG
rnacentral:rRNA from 1 species